CUCUCCCUCUCUGUCACCGACAGCACCAAGCGCUCCCGCACCAUUCCCGGUGCCUCCAGCAACCGAUCCCUCAACCGGCUCCGGCCGCGCCGACAGGCCGCUACCGGAAAUCUCCUCACCUGGUCCCACCGCUAAACACCUCCGCCCCACCGCCCACCACUUCCGCUACAGGCCGCGGGUCCGUCACCUUUUUCUGUCCGCCGUUGUCUAGGGACCAACAAGCGGUACGGAGCCAAGGAACAAGUCCGGACACCGAGAGGUUCGGUACGGCCUCGGUCCGGGAUCAGUUUCCAGAAGGCGAAGGAACUGCCUGGUUCGACCAGAGGCUUUCCUGUCUGCUUCAGUGCUAUACUGGACUGAGCAUUUUCAGAAGAUAACAAGAGAGAACCACUUUUAGGACUUGUGCAAUGCUGACAGCCUAAAUGUGAUACGUCUAUGACAGGCCCAACUUCUUGGAGUCAACUUUCUCAUAACAAAAUGCUGCUGAAACAAGAACCUUAUUAGGAUCUUCUACAAAAUAAAAGAGUGGAGCAUUAUCAAAUAUAAUGUGAAUAAACAAACACUGUAAACAGA